UGGAAACGGCGUCUAAUACUGGAUACGAGUAGCGACCGCAUGGUCAGUUACUGGAAAGAUUUAUUGGUUGGGGAUGGGCUCGCGGCCUAUCAGCUUGUUGGUGAGGUAAUGGCUCACCAAGGCGUCGACGGGUAGCCGGCCUGAGAGGGUGACCGGCCACACUGGGACUGAGACACGGCCCAGACUCCUACGGGAGGCAGCAGUGGGGAAUAUUGCACAAUGGGCGCAAGCCUGAUGCAGCAACGCCGCGUGAGGGAUGACGGCCUUCGGGUUGUAAACCUCUUUUAGCAGGGAAGAAGCGAAAGUGACGGUACCUGCAGAAAAAGCGCCGGCUAACUACGUGCCAGCAGCCGCGGUAAUACGUAGGGCGCAAGCGUUAUCCGGAAUUAUUGGGCGUAAAGAGCUCGUAGGCGGUUUGUCGCGUCUGCUGUGAAAUCCGGAGGCUCAACCUCCGGCCUGCAGUGGGUACGGGCAGACUAGAGUGCGGUAGGGGAGAUUGGAAUUCCUGGUGUAGCGGUGGAAUGCGCAGAUAUCAGGAGGAACACCGAUGGCGAAGGCAGAUCUCUGGGCCGUAACUGACGCUGAGGAGCGAAAGGGUGGGGAGCAAACAGGCUUAGAUACCCUGGUAGUCCACCCCGUAAACGUUGGGAACUAGUUGUGGGGUCCAUUCCACGGAUUCCGUGACGCAGCUAACGCAUUAAGUUCCCCGCCUGGGGAGUACGGCCGCAAGGCUAAAACUCAAAGGAAUUGACGGGGACCCGCACAAGCGGCGGAGCAUGCGGAUUAAUUCGAUGCAACGCGAAGAACCUUACCAAGGCUUGACAUAUACGAGAACGGGC
rnacentral:rRNA from 1 species